AUACCAUGGUGGGGACACCUUCUCAAUAACUCCUUAAAUCUUUCCCAUGCAUCAUAUAAAGAUUCAUCUUCUAUCUGAAAAAAAUUAUUGAUCUUAACACUCAAUCU